AUCAGGGCCUGUGGACCAAAGUUUGGCAGGGAUUCUGUCCAGAGCACUGGGGGUAUCUGUGCCCCUUGAUUCCCCUACUGGAGAUGUGAGAUGUAGCAAUAUGGGAAGGGAACAGAGGACAGAGGUGUCUUUCCGUGACAGGGGUGUGUUUAAUUGGACCUGACCAUCUGCAGUGAAAGUGAUUGAGGCUUGGAGGCGGGACAGAACAUCAGCACCCAAGAGGUUAAUGGGAC